CCCUGUCAAUAUUGUACGCAUUUUUGCGUUCAACUUAGUGCUAGGGCAUUCAAAUUCUAACAAUACGUUAUUUCAAUAGUUUUGGUUUUUUGGGACACCCUGUAUGUAUACACGAAAAUCAUGCUCUGUGCUCAUAAGCAUUGCUCAUGAGCAUUACAGGAUUUUGGUACAUAAUGGAAGUGCUUCACGAGAAUACCAAAAUUCGAAAUCUGGCAUCCAUUAUAACCACAAACCGCCGCGGCUAAAAUGUAUGCCAAAACUCGGUAUCCUUUGUAGCCACCGCCCUGGCUAUAAGUAUGCCCGAACACGGUGUCCUUUAUAGCCGGACACGGCCGAAGCUAUAGCGAAUACCGAAAUCCAGUAUCUUUCACAGCCACAAACCGCCGUAGCUAUAAGGUAUGCCGAAAUCUGGAAUCCUUAAUAUAGCCACAAACCGCCGUGGGUGUAAGGUAUGGCGAAAUCCUGUAUCUUCCACUGUAUAGCCACAAACCGCUGUGGCACUAAAGUAUGGUAAAAUACCCACCAAAAAUGCUGUGCUG